GACUGAAAGGAUGUAUGUCUGUCCUUUUGCAUCUGUCUUUAGCUAAGAAAGGAUUAACAAAAGAACAUAUUUCAUUCACACUUGUUACCCAAUUAGCUGCAAACACAAUCAUUUCCAAACCAGAGGGCAGUUACACAUUCGUACAUGUACGUCAGUGUUGUUCUGCAUCAGCGUCUUGUGUUUACCUUUAAGCCUUUGUGCACACAGGGCUUUGCUUUAGCUCCCAGCACUGUUCAUUCAACACCAAAUGAUUACGUUUCAUAUUGGUACAAACUAUAUGCUGUUUUCAGCUUGUUAUAUUUCCCCAUGUGGCCACAAACACUUUAUUGGUGUUCUUCCAAGUGUUUUAACCCACGUCUUCAGACAGGGACACCGAGUGUGUCGUGGUAACUUCACUCAAUCUGUUCGCUGAGUGUUUUGUGUUGAUUGAUUUUUGCCCAGUACGCGAGAUGGUUAACGCCUGAUGGGCAGGUUGGCUCCUUUGGUGGCAGCUUCUACCCUACCCUUCAGUUUACAGAGUAAGGGUUCUGAUAUUUAAGUAGACCGAGCAGCGCUGUCCUCGCCUUGUGGGUAUGUGGGUGAGCUUAUGUUGCUUUGAGGACAGAUUAUGUCUCUGCUAUGAAUGUUGCAACUCUAUAAAAUGCCACCAUGUCCCAAAUCCAACCAACUCAUGAGUGGAAAGUUCUUUUUAAUUGCUGGUCUUGUUCUAUUAUUGCACACAGCGUCCCAGAAGGCCACGUCCCGUAACUCAGAGAGCUGUAAUGAUUGUCCACCUCAUUGAAAGAUACAUGGGAUUGUCCCUGUAAACUGCAGGUGCUUCAGCCUGCAGUGUAAAGGCUCCAGCAGGCGGCUCUGCCCCCCCCCCUCGAUGCAUAGCUGCAGUCUCCAGGCUGCUGGUGGAGCUUGGGGUCCGAGGUGCAGAGGGGGUACAGACUGGGUGACGAAGCUCGUCAGCUGUUGGGCUCCCACCACAGUGUCAGACACGCCGCCCACAAGUCUAACCUUCUGUGGCCAACCAAUCGGAUCCAGGACACCAGGGGAGGGCCCGGGGGGGGACCAGGGGGGGGGGCCGGGGGCACCGCUGCGGCUCGCUCCCCUCCGGCAGGCCGAAUGGUGUUAACACUACUGGGGAAAUCAGAUCAUCUCCGAGCUCACAGCCGAGGGACCGAAAGUGAACUCGGCCCAACUCCCUGUGGUCUGCUGGUUGCUCAGGAUACUUUCACCCAGCUUCCACCUGUAUCUCCAUCUCUACCUCAUUCUACGUGUCUGGCUAUUGGAGGCUGGUGUGAGGAAACAGCUGUCUCUGCUCUAGCUAAACCGUUUAAGUUGUAUUGAGCUGACAUGUUAGGCUUUGAGGUGAAGAAGGUUCACAGAAAAUGCUUUUCCUCAAAUGACAACCCAGUCUCACAGCAGAACGUGUAACGGCUACGUUGGACCGACGUGGUAUUCUCACGCUUUUGGGGAGAAAGCGUGAGAAUCCCACGUUGGUCCGACAUAGCUACGACACACUUUGCUGUGAGACCGGCGACAGACUGAGGUUUUCCACGGGGAAACGCUUCUUUAUGCUCAUUCUGGUUGGAUUCUAACUGGGGAUCAUCAGCAUUCCUUGUUUGUCCUCUUUGUCAGGAAAGACUCUUUUUGGACUGAGGCUUCUAUAUUUGAAUUUAGUGCAUAUUUUAUGCAUGCUGUAUAUUUUAAGGGACAAGGUGGUGGUAUGUUGCUCAGUCUUAAGAGUUCAGCAAAGGGAUUUUGAUGCUGCGGGAAAGAGGAAGUGCAAAUUUUCACAAGAAAAUAUGAAAAUGAAAAGGAAGAAAAUCAUCUUUACAGAUUCCACCUACGUUUCAAUCAGGAGUAACAUUAUCGACCCAAAAUAUCUCCUGAGAGCGAUGAAUCCGAACCUCCAGAGUCAUCACAGCGUGAGAUAAUCAUCCAUUCUGUCCAAAGUUAUUGGGCUUGAAGAUUUUGAAGCGUGGAAGACAAUAAAUAUGUCCCCAGGAAGUACGUUGUAGCCCAUUUUAUAGCCCUGGUCUGCACGCUGUUCCUGUUUGUAUACAUGACAAAGCCAGUUAGCUACUGGGAGAUUCCUUUCUAUCUCUUUGUAGUUUCUGACCUGCUGCACGCAGGUUCAACCAACCCGGUUCACUUUCCUCCACUUCCACUUUGCUCGGUAUCUUCACUAAGUAUGGCAGAAAUGUUCUCCUGAAUACCUCUGGAACUCUCCUCUACCAUCAGGCCUUGAGACAAGAAGUACCUUCAUGCAUCUUUUCUUACUCUCUCAAAAUGAUAUAAAUAUUAUGCAGCAUGCAGGAACCAAAAUGUUUUUACUCCGCUAAAAGCUUGGUUUGUUUGGCUUCUGUUUCUGAAUGCUGUUCUGCAAUAAACCAAAGCAAAGUCCUUGUAAUAGAAAAUCUACUUGGCGAUGAGCUGGAUUUUGUUGAUUAUAUGUCCCCAGACGAUCAAUCAUUUUGCUUUUAUGUGUUUUACCUCUACAGAUAGUAGCCUAUGUGUUUUUGAUAUGCUACUCAUUAAAUUAAAUAUGGAUUGGUGGGAGGAGCCUCCUUUGGACUUGCGUCACUGAAGGCAUCCCACUCACUCACAGGAGGGUUGAUGUGGUUUUGGGGAUUGUGACGGGUCUGUGUGGGUCUGUGCAUGUAUGUGUACGUGUUGGGAAUGUGCCUCAUUACCCACCGACCCACUCAGCACGCCUCCCCUCAUGCAUUCCUCCUCCCAACCCUUAAUUCCGGGGCUGUUUGAACAGAGUUUUUCCUCUAUUGCAACAGACGACCUCUGACCUUUAGGUCCAGGGUGAGCAAGGUAAGCUGUGCAUGCGGGACGGCUGAAUAUUUUUCUCCACGGUUCAGAAACCAGGAGCUUCUUUAAACACAAAUCCCAGGAGAAAUGUAAUUAUUAAUCCGAGUAUGAAUAUUAUGGAGAUGAAUAGAGGUCUCAUAUGUGAAGCUUAGUGGUGGUGGAAUUUGAAGUGCAUGUAAUCAUGUUACCUAAUGAAGAGCUAUUUCAGGGAUCUGUACUAUUUUUCAGAGGCAUAUACAUCUUUAGCUGCUUUUCACUUCAGAGGGCAUCCUUGUAAUAUUUUUAUUUUAUUGGUUAUUGCUCAUAUUUAACUACCUGACAGCAAUAUUUAAAUGAGAUCACUUGCAUCAAAACCAUGCAUGUUGAUUUGUCUGUAAUAUUAAUAAUGAUAUCUCUAACAGGGACCAAUCCGAAAAGCAAAGAAGUAUUUAAACUUUGGAUAUUCAAAGCAAAAGGGGCUCAAAUGAGAUCAGUACUUUCACAUUUCUAACUGCAUAGCUUAUACUUGUACUGUAAUAUUUCUGAGGUAUUUCCCCUGGCAAUAAAACAGCAUAUUGAAGAUUAGAAUUUUGUUGUUUCGUUGUAUUUUGUUCAUAUGUAAAUAGAUUAUCAUUCAAUGAUCCAUCUGAAAUGGAAUAAGUAGGAUAACUUGUGGUAGUUACUAUGAAUUUAAUAUCAAAUAUAUGUAUAUUUUGUGAUUAGAGGAGGGCUGUUAAUUUCACCUGUCAGAUGAAUGAGUCUUCAGGACGUUGCCAUGGUCACUAACACCUUUAGAGCAGCAGCAUUCACAAUCAGUUCAAAUCAAUUAUUUCCAAUGUUUCUGUCGUCUUUCUACAUGCACACAUUUAACCACAGCCAUGUAUGCAAUGUAUGAUUUAUUUGGGAUGAAUUUUUACCUUUAAAAAUGUAUAUGAUACAGACAUUGUUGAUUAUGAUUGUUUUCAAAUUAGUUUCCCUUUAAACAAUUACAAAAAGCAUUUCUGACAUAAUUUGAAUGUGUUUUACUCCUAGUAGGCCUUUAAUAAAGUAAGUUAGGCACGUAUGCCUAAAAGAUCCUUUCCAUAAAACAAUUUUUCUUUUACUUAGGCUGAGCAAAACAAAGAAAAAACAACAGAAGCAUUUAACGACACAGUUAACCGUUUCAAAUAAAUCAGAUGAAGUCAUGAAAAUAGUUCUUAUUAAAUCAUUAAUAUAUUAAGUAUUGUAUUUGAUACAUUCAGCCAAAGAGAAGAGACAAAAGCUGAUAUUAGAAAUAAUCAUUUGAACCGGGCUCUUGGCCUUUUGAAAGUUCGUUAAUAAUAAUUAAAUUAGCCAUAUUGACACUACAACCCCCCGCUGUGGAAGCUGCAGAGGAGUUGUUUUUGACCUUUUAUUGUUUCAUUCACUGCGUUAAUCCCGUCAGCUCCAUUAGUUUGGCCUGUCCCGCCUCAACGAACCUCUGGUUGACGUAAACGCGUUUCGUCAGAGCGCGGCGCCCCCAACAUGUGUGGUCCGGUGGGUGCUGCGUUAACCCUUUCACCGGCGGCCGGGACGGUUACACCGGGCUGCCCGGUAACCACCGGCCCGACGGCCGGGACGGUGACACCGGGCUGCCCGGUAACCACCGGCCCGAUGGCCGGGACGGUUACACCGGACGCGCGGAGAUACAUAAUCACCACGUUGCUUUGGUUUACUCCGCCGAGAAAUGUAGUCCAUCCGAGGCGGAAAAGGAAAAUAGCCAAUGUUGGCAUAUUGCUAUGGUUUACUUUCUAUAUGCCUAUAAUAGCGCUAACAAUUGCUCUAAAAUAAGCCUUCAAUGGGCGCAGUCUCCAAACGGUGGAUUCACCGCGGACUAUUUGAAAUGAACACUAAUACGCGUGGAUGUGUUUACGAUAUUCAAUAAAGCCGAUUCACGUUUCCACGUAAUAUGGACAAAGCAACAGCGAUACUAGUCUCUGGUAUGUUUAACAGCCAAAUAAUCCAGCACGCGUCUCCCGCGAAAUGCAAACGAAUAAUUUUAGUUUGAUCACGUUGUGAUCAGGGUGAUUUUUUCUGUAAUCGCGGUGAAGCGGGCCUCUCCCGGCCCCGCGUUACCGCUCCAUCGUCCCCGUACUCAACGCAAGUGCAGCCUAUUGCCAAAUGGAAAUGGCCCCAUGGAAGCUGAGAGACUUAAGCAGUAGUUUAUUGAUCCCUCACGUUUCACUGACCCGUUCCCUCUGUGAGUCUGAGCUGAGAAGGCAGCUUUUGUCUCCAGCAUCCCGGAUUUCCUACCUAUCCGAUAGAACCUGAAUGCAGCACGGCACUCCAACGCUAGGCCCCGCCCUCUGGAAUGCCAAAAGGCCUAAUCCCGCCCCUCGGCCGGAAAACCAUUCAAAAACACCCCGAUAUAAACGGGAGGGGGGAGGACACGAGGGGGGCAGAAGCGACUACGAGCCGCGUGCGAUAGUAACGUGGAUUUACAUAUUUGAUGCUGUUUAUUCCUCGAAAACAACCCUGUCACCGACCAAAUGUAUCACUUUACACACCAAACAAAAAGUAAAAUUAUAAUCUACAGCAGUUGAUCAAAAGGUGAUCACGAAGAAAUUAAAAUGUAUGUAUGUAUUCAAAUAAUUCAAUUAAGAUUGAAUAAUCCAAUAUGCAAGAAUGCCAUGUUUUACAAGCCAUGUCAAAAAAUAAGGACAAAACAAUUUGAUCAGAAUUUCAGACACUCAUAUCAACAGCACAUAUGGACGAGAAAGCAUUUCCUGAAGGAGAAAUCACAUAAAGACUCUUGAGAAAACUAAUCAAAUGGAGAUUAUAAUCAAAAAAGGCUUCUAAAUUUAGAACAUUUGUGCACCUAAUUAUUGUGAAUAUUUGUUUUGUAAAAAACGUUUUUUGUGUCAAUGUUUAUUUGACACAAAUUGUUAUUUAUUUACAAUUGAAAAAUAACUUCUCCGAAUCAAACAGCUAAUAUUGAGUCUCAGAGGAAGAACAAUGUUUUAGGUCACUCAUUGUACCGUGAAUAAGUCAAAUCAGUUUCCCCGUAAUCUCUCAUAAAUAUGGUUUUAAUCAGAACAUUUAAUGUUUUUCCCACAUAAAGGAAAUUCUAAGUAUGCACGCAUCAUAAGAAAACAAAAAGUUGGGAUGAUCACAUUGGCAAAAUGUUUAUUUAAAUUGGUCCUCAUUUAGAUAAACUAAUUGCAAUUGUAAAAGUAAAGAAAACGGAAAUGAUCAACAUUUAUUUGAAGUUUAAUCUACUAAUUAAUAACUAACUUCAAUGCAAACGGGAGAGUAACUGAUUGUUCAAGGCCUAUCGAGGGUUUUGAUUAACUGUCCUGACAGGAGGAAGUCUUCCAACAACACCUGCAGCAGGAAGGGUCUUUAAUCUGACUGCUGCUCAGUGUCGGAUAACAACUUAAAUACUUUUAAUUAAAUAUUUUGUUACCUACAUAUAUCACACUUUUUAACUAACUAACUUGUUGUAUUUAGGGUUUAGAGAAUCAUUUAUAUUAACAAAUAUAUGACAAGAGGAUGUCUGAUGCAUUUUGGGCUGUACAAAUAAAUUGAGCAGAACUUAAUAGAAAAACCCAGCACAUUGUCAGCCAGGAGCUUUUUGCUAAUAACCACACAUGCAGGUCAGUACUGGGCCACAGCCCAGCAACCAGUUCACUUCUCAGAACCUAAAUAUUAGAUAGAAAUCCAAAUAAUCAUAGAAAUACCUGGCACACCAUUUCUUUCUUCCCAAAUAACCAACUCAAAGGGACCACUUUUCUGCAAUAUGACUUAUUUGACCUAAUACCUAAAAUAGAUGAACUGUUGUUGUAUUAAAGUCAAAAGGAUCUGAAUAUUUAUUUCAUCAUUGCUGCUGGUGUCAUUAACUGCUGUCCUGUUUUGUGUCUUCUUGUGUGAGUGUGUGUUUACUUUCCACAAUAGUCACAACUCACACAUUGAGGACAACAGAGUUACACAGGUCCGUUACUCAGCUGAGAGGAAGCAGAGUCUGGAUACAGUUACUGUUCAUUUAUGCAGAUCAUGAUGAAAAGCCUGCUGCUGUUGUCAUUUGAAAAUGGAAGCAGUUAAGAUGAAAACACAGAGGAGCUUAUUGCAGCUCACAAUUCACAAUCCAUUUCUGGUGAUAGUGAUUAUACUGUCUUUGUGUAUUUUAGAGUCCCUGUGGUUUACCCCAUUGGUCCGUUACCUCUACACAAACAGCACCGUCUACAGUAAACUGUCCCACAGGUGCCAGGUGUUGAUUACAUUCCACCAUCUUUCUCUGAGCUCCUCUCCUUCCUGUAGCGUGAUGGCGUACACAGUUCUCUCCUGGUCCUAGAACAGGAGGAAAAGGGGGUCUACAUGUUGGGAACACUUCCUGCAGUGUUUUCACCCCCCCACGCUCUGGGGCUGGCGCCAUGCUGCCCAGAGUAACCUGAGUCAUCAAGCGGCAGCUCAAGUCUCUGCUCCCUCAUCCUGACAUCUGGCUUCUCUGUGGCUGCUGACCCCUGGAGGUCACAGGUCGGAUGGAGGGGUAAGGGGGUGAAGGGAUGUUGUCGCUGGCAGUUUCUCUUUCACUGCCAGUGAGAUGCAGAUUAAAGAAACAAGCAGAUUAGAAACAUGAUUAUUCUUUAUAAUGUUGGCUCCAAUAAUAUCGUUACUUGAAUCAAUAUAUGUAUAAGUACUGCCUCUAUUUCUACCCCCAUUGGUACUACUACUACUACUACUGCAGUUAAUCAGGUGUACUAUUGCUACUUCAGCUUCUGGUACUGCUACUGGUUCUACUAUGUUAGGCUAAUGCAAGCCAACUGCUACUGCUGAUGUUAACGUAUGGUGUUACUGUUACAAAUACUGCUUCAACUCUGACUACUACUGUUUCUACUGUCUCAGCUACUGCCGCUACUACGUUGCUGUCAACGCUUACUGUAACUUGUCUUACUGGUGGAAGUGCUACUUUUACUGUAGGUUGGCAUGCUACCACUGCUACCGCACCUCCUACUGUUACUGCUUCCGUUAUUAAUACUGCUACUGCUAUCGCUACUCCUGAUACUGCUGUUACUGCUAUCACUACUCCUGAUACUGCUGCUACUGCUAUCGCUACUCCUGAUACUGCUGUUACUGCUAUCGCUACUCCUGAUACUGCUGCUACUGCUAUCGCUACUCCUGAUACUGCUUUUACUGCUAUCGCUACUCCUGAUACUGCUGCUACUGCUAUCGCUACUCCUGAUACUGCUGCUACUGCUAUCGCUACUCCUGAUACUGCUGCUACUGCUAUCGCUACUCCUGAUACUGCUGUUACUGCUAUCCCUACUCCUGAUACUGCUGCUACUGCUUAGCUACUCCUGAUACUUCUGCUACUGCUAUCGCUACUCCUGAUACUGCGGCUACUGCUAUCGCUACUCCUGAUACUGCUGCUACUGCUAUCGCGACUCCUGAUACUGCUACUGCUUAGCUACUCCUGAUACUGCUGCUACUGCUAUCGCUACUCCUGAUACUGCUACUGCUUAGCUACUCCUGAUACUGCUGCUACUGCUAUCGCUACUCCUGAUACUGCUACUGCUUAGCUACUCCUGAUACUGCUGCUACUGCUAUCGCUCCUCCUGAUACUGCUGUUACUGCUAUCGCUACUUCUGAUACUGCUGUUACUACUGAUACGGCUACGGUUACUUCUAGCGAUACCGCAACCACUACUUUUCCUAUUACUACAGCUACCACCGACACUACUGCUGCCACUAGUGAUAGUGGUACAUCUGGUCCUGUGAUGACUGGUACUUACUACGUGACUCAUAUGCUGCCCUUCACCAGUUCAUUCCAGGUUUGAGAGUGUAAAAGGAGUUACUUAUGGUCACUUUAGGAUAUCCUCAGGUUUUGUCCACCUCUUUGAAAUCAGCUAACGUUUACUAAUCCGGGAAACGCCAUAAAUGCCUCAAAGUUACUUGAAGAAAGAAAUAUGAUAUCUUCUCCCAACCUGAAUUAAAACCUAUUGUUGAUUAUGCGUAACGCUCAUCAACAGUCAAAUUAAGAUGCAAAUCACCCCUGUCAUUAAAGCCAUGCCGUCACCUGGCAGGUGUGAGCAACCAAAGUAAAUAGAUUGUAAUGUUGCCGCCAAAAGUAAUCUACCUUUGUUUCCCACAUGUAGACAACAUAAACCUUUAUUAAACAUCUGCGUGAGCACCUCAUUAAUCCAACAACAAAUGCCAAAUGAACACGUGCUGUGUUUCUGUGUCGACAGGAGAGCCAGAUCCAACCAAUAAAAACCAUUUGGGCCAUUCGAUCAGUGUCAAAUGUCAUCAAUUGGAUUCAGUGGACUAAACUGAACUGAAGUCAUGGCAGACUGGGAAACCCCCUUCAAGUACUAAAUAUUUAGAAGAAUUUAAGGAUUACAAGAAUGUUUCAUCAGUAAAUGGCUAUGAAUUGCAAUAAAAACUGAUUGAAUACAAGUUUUCCUCCACCAGCUUUUUACAUCAUGGACGACUAUUGUUAUCUUUGUGAUUUUCAUCAUUUGCCUGAGAGAGUUUUGGGAAACUACUUGUUGUGCUUCAGAUCUUUAAAACACACAGACCUGUGAGAUCUUCUGUCUUUGGUCAAUGCGUCUAGGAAGUGGAUGUGUAGGAACAUGUCCAUGAAUGGCAGAUGUCCUGGCUGGCGACUGAGGACAUGGUGUAGUUCCGGGUGCAAAAGGGGGCACUUACAAUGCUGCUAGCAGGUAGACUUCUGCUCUCUGAUCUGUUGCACAAUGUUCAGUAAAGAUUAACCUGCCGCUGCCUGCGCCGACACACAAGGUUGGACCGUGUGUGUCUUUCUGUGUGUCUGUCAAUACUUUGCACCUUAUGCUGCCAAUCGUUCUUUCUUUUGAUUCAUUGUAAAGCUGCAGCCCAAAUUGUAUUGUUCUUAUGGGGAUUAUUUUAACUACUGGAAACACAUCAUUUAGAUGACUAAGAAGAUGUCUUCUGUACAGUGUGAAGAUUUAUAAGGCCAGUGCAAAAAUAUGCAUUAAAGACAGCAGCAGUGGCUUCGUCGGCGUUAGAGGGUCACUGGUGUACGACUGAUGGUGACCGUUCAUUACAGUCACAUCCUGUGGGAAGAAGCUGCCGUUGUCGUUUUGGCCUACAGUUUUCAGCAGUGCCUCCCAAAGGGGAGAAGUUCAAAAAGGUCCAGAGAGUGAUGGGAGUGGGGUGUUGGCAGCGACAGCCCCUUUUCCUCCCUCUGCAGGUGCAGAAGUCUGGGAUCACCGGCAGCAUCAGGGACUCGGCCUGCAGUCACUGAAGUCCGUCGAUCCAAACCAGCGAUGGAUUAUUCCAGUGUGCAAGUGGACCAGCAGCUCCCGGGGCAGGCUGGACUUCCUGAGCUGUCACAGGAAGUACUUCCUUGGCUGGCCCUUUUUCCUGAUGGUGCAUGUUGGAAGUCCCCUUUAUGUCUGUGGAGUCGGGGGAUCAAACCUUCACCAGCAGACACGUGUUGGUCAAUAUGGGGACGGUUGCUCCUCCACAAUCACACUGUUGCCUCCACGGUAAUGGAAAACUAUCACAAGGACGGAUCUGACAGUAUGUGAUGUGGUAACAGGUGAUUACAAACCCCUUUUCCAAUCCACAAGCUUAUUAAAUGAGUAAAUGCUUGCAAAAUACUUUAAAAAGAUGUAUCAUUUUUAAUUUGGGGUUUUAAAACCAGAUUACACCGCACUCCGAAUUAGUUUCACGUAUUUACAUUGUGGAUCAAUUGAUGCCUUAAAGUAAUUAAAAGUUCAGGGAAAAGUCUUGCUGCUGGUUUUAAUACAGUUAUUCUUAUUUAUUCCUUUAUUCUGCAGGGACAAUGCACACUAACCAACAGUUGUACUGUAAGUGAGCCACAGUUAGCCAGAGGUUAAUCUGCUGUCCCCGGCCAGAUGUUUUUAAGGCAGCCUAAAAUAAAAAACACAUUAAAAGAGAAAAAACAAAUGAAUACAAUUGACAAUUGAUAGUGUCUCAAUAAACGUAUCUAACCACCUAUUUGCCACAAGGGGCUUUACAAUCGGUUGAGCAAACAUCACUCUCUGUCCUUUUGUCCCAAAAUGUCCCACUUCCAAAAACAUUUUGACAAUCGAAAAAUGGGAGAAAACUCAGGACGAGUAAGGGAAGAGGGAUCCCUCUGAAAUGACAAUGUUAUCAAAAGGUUAUCUGCCUGUGUUUCUGCAAACAGCGUCCCGUUUUUGAUGAGUUUUAACGUUAUAAACUUCCCCGUUUUACAGACAAAGAGUUGUGUUCUUCCUUCACUUCACUGGAGCAAUAUGUCAAGUAUAAACUUUGAAACAACAGGUUUUUAAAUGUUACAUGCAACGUUUCAUCAAUUCUGAAAUAUCAUGAAUAUCUUUGUACCAUUCCACCUUCCAGCAAAAGCACAAUCUGACAUGUAAUUCAGCUGAGGUUAACAAAGCUUGGCCAUACCUAAGGUUUAUGUCUAUGGUCCACCCAGCCAAUUUAAUAUAUAUAUAUACAUAUAUACAGACUAACAAAAUGUAGCACAUAAAUUGUACUUGUUACGCCACUUAUAGCAAAUUAUAAAUUGGCUUAUUUGAUGAAAUUGCACUUUCUUGUUUCUUGUUCUUCUGAGUUUGUACCCUAUGGUUGAACUUAUUGUACGUCGCUUUGGAUAAAAGCGUCAGCUAAAUGACAUGUAAUAUAUGUAUAAGAUAUACUCAAUAUAUCUAUUAUCUAUUAAAGUAUCCUUAAAAGAGUUGAAAAGUAUUGUUUGCAACACAUUACAUUUAUCUUCAUGGUUCCUGCUGUUAAAUGUUGUUGUUUAUAGAGGUCUUUACAAAUGCUAAGAAACAGAUGCAGCUGAGAUUUGAUGUAAAAAAGAAUGAUUUUGAUAUUUUCUUCUGAUAAUCCAUCCGUCCCUUCAGGUCACAACGAGGACGUGCGGCGCAGAGAUGCUGUCUAUUGAUUUGUGUAUUCCUCGCGUCCCCGGAGUGGAGACCGUGUCCACCCGAUCAGUCUCAAUAUGGACAUAGCGCUUUCUGCUGGGUGCGCGCGCACGCCUUUCACAAGCGGUGGGGGACGCGAGCGCGCAUUCCGUGCAUAGCUGCUCACGCACGUCAUAGCCGACAGGUUUCUCCUCAAAACUCGGGGGCAAAGUAAGUGAAGACGGACGGACUUCCCAGCGUGCACCGCUUCCCCCCGAGUUAGGCUUAUUUCACCAUCACACGACGUCCAGGAGGGUUACUGACGGUCAGGCCAGUAUUUCACCUGCACUUUGGUGUCAAACUGUUUUAACAUUCUACCACUGACAGCAGGCUAUGGACCUAAAUGGAAAUAAAUUGAACCACUGCAACUGGCCAACAAAUAUCGAGCAUCUGCGGUUAUAACAGCGAGGUGGUCCGUGGGGGCCGACGCCCCCCGGCCGGCGGGCGGGAGAAAGGGACCGUGGAAGCGGCUCCCUCC
ensembl:lncRNA